GUUCUGGUAAUAGAAGAUACAAUUUGGUUGAAAUGCACUAGAAAUUAACGAAUAAGGGGAGAUAACUCUGUAAUUUGCUAUCAUUCUAACCAAUUUUCUAACCAAGUUAUUUGAUAUUACCAGACACACACAAACGAAAGACCAAUUAUUUUUAACUCAGGAUGAUGAUUAGUAUUAAAUAGCAUGAUUAGCUCGGUGGGUUUUUUCUGAUCAUGUUUUGAUUUUUACCUAAAUUGCCUGAUUCUUACAAAGACUGGCACUUAA
rnacentral:lncRNA from 1 species